rnacentral:tRNA from 1 species
CGGAGAUUAGUUCAUCGGUAGAACGCUCGUAUGGGGUACGAGAGGCAAAGGGUUCAAUUCCCUUAUCUCCGA